UGGGGAAUAUUGCACAAUGGGCGCAAGCCUGAUGCAGCCAUGCCGCGUGUGUGAAGAAGGCCUUCGGGUUGUAAAGCACUUUCAGCGGGGAGGAAGGCGUUAAGGUUAAUAACCUUGGCGAUUGACGUUACCCGCAGAAGAAGCACCGGCUAACUCCGUGCCAGCAGCCGCGGUAAUACGGAGGGUGCAAGCGUUAAUCGGAAUUACUGGGCGUAAAGCGCACGCAGGCGGUCUGUCAAGUCGGAUGUGAAAUCCCCGGGCUCAACCUGGGAACUGCAUUCGAAACUGGCAGGCUAGAUUCUUUUAGAGGGGGUUAGAAUUCCCGGUGUAGCUGUGAAAUGCGUAGAGAUCUGGAGGAAUACCGGUGGCGAAGGCGGCCCCCUGGACAAAGACUGACGCUCAGGUGCGAAAGCGUGGGGAGCAAACAGG
rnacentral:rRNA from 1 species